UACAGAGGGUGCAAGCGUUAAUCGGAAUUACUGGGCGUAAAGCGUGCGCAGGCGGUUUCGUAAGUCUGUCGUGAAAUCCCCGGGCUUAACCUGGGAAUGGCGAUGGAGACUGCGAGGCUAGAGUUUGGCAGAGGGGGGUAGAAUUCCACGUGUAGCAGUGAAAUGCGUAGAGAUGUGGAGGAACACCGAUGGCGAAGGCAGCCCCCUGGGUCAAAACUGACGCUCAUGCACGAAAGCGUGGGGAGCAAACAGG
rnacentral:rRNA from 1 species